GUGAGGAAUAUUGCACAAUGGACGAAAGUCUGAUGCAGCGACGCCGCGUGGGUGACGAAGGCCCUCGGGUCGUAAAACCCUUUUGGCAGGGACGAGUGAGGACGGUACCUGUCGAAUAAGUCUCGGCGAACUACGUGCCAGCAGCCGCGGUAAAACGUAGGAGGCGAGCGUUAUCCGGAUUCACUGGGCGUAAAGCGCACGUAGGCGGUUAGGUAAGUCGGGUGUUAAAGCCCCUGGCUCAACUGGGGGAGGUCAUUCGAUACUGCUUGGCUUGAGGAUGAAAGAGGAGAGUGGAAUUCCCGGUGUAGCGGUGGAAUGCGUAGAGAUCGGGAGGAACACCAGUGGCGAAAGCGGCUCUCUGGUUCAUUCCUGACGCUGAGUGUGCGAAAGCGUGGGGAGCAAACGGGAUUAGAUACCCCUGUAGUCC
rnacentral:rRNA from 1 species